rnacentral:misc_RNA from 1 species
AGAGUUAAAUAGUACGUGAAAUUGUUGAAAGGGAAACGGUUGAAGUCAGUCAUGCCGGCGGGAAUCAACUUAGGGAAACCCUGGGUGCACUUCUUCGCUUGGCAGGUUAGCGUCGAUUUUGGAUAUCAUAAAAUGAUUGGGGGAAGGUAGCUCCUACGGGAGUGUUAAGCCCUUGGUAGAUGUGAUGUCUGGGAUCGAGGAUUGCAACGGAUACCCUCUGGGCUAGCCGCCUAGUCUCUAAUACGAUGUUGAGUUAUGGACAGCAUGCUGACCAUUAUUUGACUUUCGGUUAAAAGAUUAGAGCGAGCGUAAAUUCGUUAAGGACGCUGACGUAAUGGCUUUAAACGA